AACAGCCGAGGCAGUGCUCUGGUUAAGCAGGUGAUCCCAGAAAUCUGUUUUUUGUUGAAGCAAUCACUCAUUGCUUGGCUAACCCAACAGCUCUUUCCAACUCCAUCUGCCUUGUCUAUCUUUUUCAGGCAAUUUCAUCAUCUUCCUUGCAGCCAAGGGCAGCCAAAUGAUUCAGCAGCUCUGCCUUGAGUUCAGUCCUCUCCAAGGACCUCUUCCCAACCACUCACCCUUGGAGUUUUCCUCGUGGACACAAACUUGAUGGCACACUGGUACUGGUGGCAAUUGGUGGCAUUGGUAACUUAUGAAAUAAGCACUGGAGAUCCAGAAGCA
rnacentral:lncRNA from 1 species